UGGCUCAGCAGUUAAGAGCACUGGCUGCUCUUCCAGAGGACCUGGGUUCAAUUCCCAG
rfam:Mesocricetus auratus contig127080, whole genome shotgun sequence.